CGAUGAAGAACGCAGCGAAAUGCGAUAAGUAAUGUGAAUUGCAGAAUUCAGUGAAUCAUCGAAUCUUUGAACGCACCUUGCGCCCAUUGGUAUUCCGAUGGGCAUGCCUGUUUGAGUGUCUUGAAAUCAUCAAGCCCGUUCGGUUUCACCGCCGAGCGGGUUGGACUUGGGGGCUUGCCGCUUCGCCGCGGCUCCCCUUAAAUGCAUCAGUUUCGGGUCUCUGUGGGAGUCACCCCUUGGGCGUUGUAUAACCCUCGCUGUCUGGGAACUCCACGCGACGUCCGCGUCGUUGAAGGGCCUUGAAGAAACCUCGACCUGCUGUAGAGUGGCGGUCAAUGUUAAAUCGAGAUCUGACCUCAAAUCAGGUAGGACUACCCGCUGAACUUAA
rnacentral:rRNA from 1 species